rnacentral:rRNA from 1 species
GACAGAGGGUGCAAACGUUGUUCGGAAUUACUGGGCGUAAAGCGAGUGUAGGCGGUUCGGUAAGUCGGAUGUGAAAGCCCCGGGCUCAACCCGGGAAGUGCACUCGAUACUGCCGAGCUAGAGUAUCGGAGAGGUUGGUGGAAUUCUCGGUGUAGAGGUGAAAUUCGUAGAUAUCAGGAGGAACACCGGUGGCGAAGGCGGUUCUCUGGGCAUUACCUGACGCUGAGGAGCGAAAGUGUGGGGAGCGAACAGG